rnacentral:rRNA from 1 species
ACUCCUACGGGAGGCAGCAGUGGGGAAUAUUGGACAAUGGGCGCAAGCCUGAUCCAGCAAUACCGCGUGUGUGAAGAAGGCCUUAGGGUUGUAAAGCACUUUCAGUGGGGAGGAAGGUGACUGUGUUAAUAGCGCAGUUAUUUGACGUUACCCACAGAAGAAGCACCGGCUAACUCUGUGCCAGCAGCCGCGGUAAUACAGAGGGUGCAAGCGUUAAUCGGAGUUACUGGGCGUAAAGGGCGCGUAGGUGGAUAAUUAAGUUUCAUGUGAAAGCCCCGGGCUUAACCUGGGAACUGCAUGGGAUACUGGUUAUCUAGAGUAUGGUAGAGGUAAGUGGAAUUUCCGGUGUAGCGGUGAAAUGCGUAGAUAUCGGAAGGAACACCAGUGGCGAAGGCGACUUACUGGGCCGAUACUGACACUGAGGCGCGAAAGCGUGGGGUAGCGAACAGGAUUAGAUACCCUGGUAGGCUCUG